UACGUAGGGGGCUAGCGUUGUCCGGAUUUAUUGGGCGUAAAGAGCGUGUAGGCGGCCAGGUAGGUCUGCUGUGAAAACUCGAGGCUCAACCUCGAGACGUCGGCGGAAACCAUCUGGCUAGAGUCCGGAAGAGGAGAGUGGAAUUCCUGGUGUAGCGGUGAAAUGCGCAGAUAUCAGGAAGAACACCGGUGGCGAAGGCGGCAUCCCUGGACCGGGCAUUGACGCUGAGGAGCGAAGGCCAGGGGAGCAAACGGG
rnacentral:rRNA from 1 species